UCUUCCUGGCUUAAGAUUUUAACCUGUUUGCUGGGCACCCAAGCCAGGGCGCUACAGUAACGACCACCAGACCAAAAAAGGAGCAGAAAGAAACCCAUUCUGUACACAAAACACUGAGGAAACUGAAUCCGAUUUGGCCCUCACUGACGUACUCUGCGGAUUGAAACGUUGGUAGCAAGCUGCCUCCAUAAUGUUGAAAAUGCUGGAUACUGCUGAAAAUAAUGCUGACAGGUCCCUAGUACCCCUUGAAAACAUGAAGUACCGAUGGGAGAAGUGGCCAGGAGUGUAUGGUACAGUUUCAGAGGAUUGAAACUUCUAAAGCAAGCUGCCUUCAGAAUGAAGCCAAAAACAAUGCUGCCACAUUCCUAGUACUGGUGGGAGAUGUGACCAGGAGUGUAUGGUACCAUUUCAGAGGACUAAAAACGUCGAGGGCAAGCUGCCUCCAGAGUGGUGAAGGUCUGGACACUGCUAAAAAUACUGCUGCCAGGUGCCUAGUACCCCUUGAGAACAUAAGUUCCACAUGGGAGAAGUGGCCAGGAGUGUAUACCGUAUCAAAGGUUGCAGGGCCUAUAAAAGUCAGGGUAGAGUCACUGAGCUGUUACUGAGUCUGAAAUGUUCAACAGGACUCUUCUUGGACAUUUUGCUAGUGAGACUCACAGCACUGCAAACUUCUAACCAGGCAGGGCGGCUCCCUGAAAGGACAAAACACUCCUGGUUCAG